UAAUUUUUGUAAAGUUGAUUUUUAUUUUGUUAGAUAAAAGAAAUAAUUGUACAAAGUUUCAGCUUGAUCCGAGAUAGGGUGUGGAAGAAAUAAUGUGUACAAAUUUUUUACCAGACAGACAGAGUAAGUUGAUAUAAGCUUUGUAACAAUACUGAAAAGAAACUGAAUGAAACUUGAUGAAAACUUGAGCUUUGCUUCAUACAUUUAAUCUCUAUAUCUCUCUUUAUAUACAUUUGCAUAUACAUAUCAACACAUAUAUCCUACUAUAGCAUGGUAGGGCAACUCAAAGCUAAUAUAUAUAUAGAUAUAUAUAUAUAUAUAUAUUAUAAAGUGUAAAUAAACUAUAAAAAAUAUAUACAAGUCACAACAACAUUUUUGAGGUUUCAAUCCAAACAUUCGAUUGAUGAACAUAGAACCAACAACAAUGUCCUAAGCUGUGGUACUGACCUAGUUGAGCAAAUGAGAAACACUCAAUUUAUAUAUACAAUAGUUUAAUAGCUAAAUUCGAGAUCAACUAAGAAAGAGAGUAAGAAAGGGAAUGGGACAUGUGGUGGUUAAGAUAUUCAUUCAUUAAAAUCCAGUGAUUGGUACUGCAAGACUCGAUAAUUAUUGCAAAUGUUACAUACUAAAAGUUUGUCUUCUAGCCAAUGUAGAACCAGUGUGGAUGUGAAUAUAAAUCAAAUUGAGAUAUUGCUAGUCUCUCCUUAAUCCAUCUAAAAAUAAAUUAUAUUGUAGAUGGUGCUGGCCUACCAUUGACUUAUCUAAAAAUAAAUCAAAUUGUUGAAAUUGCUGGUUUCCCUUUGAUUUAUCUAUCCAUAAAUCAAAUUUUAAAUAAUGCUUGUCUCCCUUGAGUCUCUAAAACUAAAUGAUAGACUAUUUGUCUCCCUGAUCCUUGCAGUGUUCCCCCCCCCCCCCCUCCA